UACGUAGGUGGCAAGCGUUGUCCGGAUUCACUGGGCGUAAAGCGCGCGCAGGCGGUCUUCUACGUCUGGGGUGAAAACCCGGGGCUCAACCCCGGGACUGCCGUGGAUACGGGAAGACUUGAGGAUCGGAGAGGCAAGGGGAAUUCCACGUGUAGCGGUGAAAUGCGUAGAGAUGUGGAGGAACACCUGUGGCGAAGGCGCCUUGCUGGCCGAUUUCUGACGCUGAGGCGCGAAAGCGUGGGGAGCAAACAGG
rnacentral:rRNA from 1 species